GACGAACGCUGGCGGCGUGCCUAAUACAUGCAAGUUGAGCGCUGAAGGUUGGUACUUGUACCAACUGGAUGAGCAGCGAACGGGUGAGUAACGCGUGGGGAAUCUGCCUUUGAGCGGGGGACAACAUUUGGAAACGAAUGCUAAUACCGCAUAAAAACUUUAAACACAAGUUUUAAGUUUGAAAGAUGCAAUUGCAUCACUCAAAGAUGAUCCCGCGUUGUAUUAGCUAGUUGGUUAGGUAAAGGCUCACCAAGGCGAUGAUACAUAGCCGACCUGAGAGGGUGGUCGGCCACAUUGGGACUGGGACCCGGCCCAAACUCCUACGGGAGGCAGCAGUAGGGAAUCUUCGGCAAUGGACGCAAGUCUGACCGAGCAACGCCGCGUGAGUGAAGAAGGUUUUCGGAUCGUAAAACUCUGUUGGUAGAGAAGAACGUUGGUGAGAGUGGAAAGCUCAUCAAGUGACGGUAACUACCCAGAAAGGGACGGCUAACUACGUG
rnacentral:rRNA from 1 species